AGGCGCGGCGCUGCCGCGGCGCUUAAAACAUGAAAUACAGCUUACCACAGCGCUUAAAUACCCCGCGCAGUGCCUCAAUUAUUAGUGUGGCGUCUUAAAUCAGUAAGCCAUUUCAUCCCCAUGAGAUACCUCGGUAAAUAUUGAUCAGGGUAGUUUAUGAAUACACAGUGUAGCUAGCUGUUUACCGUGUACUGAUAAGGGUUUAAAGACGACACGUGUAUUGAUGAAAGUCUGUGUUUUGACAAGUCUGCGGUUAAUUGGGACAGGAGUGAUUGGAUUAUAAUUAGUUAAGGAUUAUAAUUAGUCUAUGCAAAGAAAUGGGAUAACAGUUGGUGGCGGCACGCAUGGGCUCUUUCAUCACACUUCUCCUGCGGUUAUUGAAUGGGCACAGGUGAAAGCCACCCUUACCACACCAGAAAUGUCCCAGAUGAACACUGUUAGCACCGUGGAGUGGAUUGCCAGUAAUCUGUCAGAGUCUCACCCAUACCUGAGCAAAGUCGCUACAGUAGCUUCUACUCACCUCCACAGCUGACUGUGAGAGAGGUUUCAGCAGUUGGAUCUUGUAAAUACCAAACACCAUUCAUCACUGAGCAUGAAAGUGCUUAAUACCUUACUCAUGGUGUCCAUGCAGGGACAAAAAUUGAAUGACCUUUGCAGUAAAGGAAUGGCACAGUGCCAAAGACAGAUGUACUCUAAUAUGGAAAAAAAAAAUGUCUAUGUGUUGUUACUGUUAGUACAAAAGAACUGGAAGGACAUCUGUGUGGUGUAUAUGAUAUAUUGAUGGUUAUAUGAUUAUGUGAAAAUGUAAAAGUAAUGAAAUA
rnacentral:lncRNA from 1 species